rfam:Danio rerio chromosome 7, GRCz11 reference primary assembly.
AUUCACAGCCUUAUCACCCUGCAGCCCAAGAGCAGUUACUUACUGAAGCUAAGCAGGGCUGAGCCUGGUCAGAACCUGGAUGGGAGACCACAUGGGAAAACUAGGUUCCUGUUGGAA